rnacentral:lncRNA from 1 species
GUCCCAUUAAGCUUUGCAUUGUACCUGGACAGACUUCUAUUAAUUUGCACAGAAGUGACCAACCCACCUGCUGCACACUCGCGACUCUCAUAUAGGAGUCCAAGACGAUCAACAGAGGCACAUGGAUAUUUUUGCCUUGAAAUAACUUGGAGGCGCGCUCGGAGUACGUGAACACCAGCAGAUCCUCCAGGAUUUGGACCAGCGUUUCUAUCUGUUUU